CUUUUCCUGUUUGGCUUGGAAAAGCCGUUUUUAAAAGGUGUCUUCUAGAGAGUCAGCCGACUUCCAAACCAAUACGAACAUUCCAAGGUGAUCAAAGUUAGAUGGGUCUCUAGGCAUGAAACUAUGCAGCAUUCCAGAGUGGACUGGAUUCCCUGCUUUUCCACAAGCGUGUCUAGGAGCAUCUAAAAGGUUUCCCAAAUGUUUGGGUUUUAACUGUGCAGCAGCAUGAGGAAGGAUGCCAGAGACUCGGCACUCAGGUUAAAGCAGGUGUCAGAUGGAGAUGCCAGAUUCCAGGUGUGGAAACACCAAACCUGUCCGGGCUUGCAGCAGAGGUUUGCUCACAUGCAGAGCAGAAAUAAGCCUGCCCAAAGCGAGACAUGAUAAGGGAAUGCACUGGUAGGGGCCAGGAAACAUCUGCUCUGCUUUGUGAUCUUCUGGCUGUGUGAUCUUGGUCAGGUUACUUGCCCUCUCUGAGCCUUGUUUCCUCAUCUGCCAAAUAAAGGCCCUAUAAUAACAAUGCCAGCUACCAGCUACUUACUUUGUGUCAAGCACUGUGCUGGCCACUUAAAUUCUUUCUAGUCCUCAGACAGUGCUUAGGUAGUAACGUUAUUUCUGCAUCAGACAUGAAGAGAGAAGCUGGGCAUACAGCUGGGCAGCUAAGGCUCGUUACAACUCUGGUUCCAAAGGCAAGGAUCUGUGCAUCACUCAGGCCACUGCCUCCUUCUGAGAUCACAUCACAGAGGGAGAAAUGGAAGCCAGAGAAGCAUUUCCAACCCAUUCAUAUAGUUUCUCUCCCAGACUCCUGGCUCAGAGCUCAGCUACUGUUUUGGGCAAUGUAGUGGUUUGAGGAGGCUGGUGAAUAUCUUUUUCAAAUGAAACCUAGAAGUUUGUCAUAGUAAAGAACAAAGCAGCCCAUCCCUCUGCUUAAGGCACUGUUUUCUAGGGUGCUCAGGGGGUUUCCCUUGCCCAGCAAUGAAGGGGUCUUUGGGGCCUUGCCACACCCUCUCUCACCUCCAGGACAGGCCUCGGUACUGAAUCAAGACGUCCAACACAUUUCCAGGUCUGGACCCAGCUCCAUUGCCUGCCUGAGAGAGAACAACAAGGGGCUUUUUUACGUGGACGAAACAAAGUGCUGGGUCCUUGAAUGAGUUCUACACCAUGAUCUGGAGACCUUGUCCAAUGCUGCCCACUACUGACCAGCUGUGUGACUUGGGGUUCUCAUAUUACUCAAGAUCUUUUCCCCUCCUGCCCCUUCUGCAUCAGGGUCACUUACUGUGAGAGAGUCACCCAGGGCCCCAAUGAUGCUGAUGUCAGCCGGCUUCAGCCUAUGAACUGAGAAUACAAGCAGGAGUGAGUGGAAAACGGGGACAGGGCGUCCAAGAAAGCACUGGACCUAUCUACUAGAAACAAAGGAAUAUCUUCCAGGAUAACAAAGAAAAAGUCAGUUUUUGCCAGCAGGACACCUUGGCUAAAAGACAGAAAAAACCCAUCCUUGUCAAUGGGCUCUGCAACACCAGCCAUGGAACCUGAGUGCUGGCUUCUUCUCUGGGGCACCUGGACACAGGAACAGGAAGCUGAAAAGUGGAUCCUGCUUUAAGCGGGGAGCUGUGCUUGCAUUUGGUGAGACCUGAUGCUACCAGGUAAUCCAGCACCUCCUUCAGCUUGUCCAGGCCACCCGCCAUGAGCCCAUUCUGUGAGAGGAGAACCUAAUGAGUGAGGGUAUCAGCAAGAAGACCAUGAGAAGCGGACACCCAGACUCAUGACAGGCCCGUCCCCAGCAGGCGAGACCACAGGCAAAGGCCCCAUCUAGACCUGGCAUUCCACAAAUGAGAGCGGUCCUGGAGCUUCCUAGUUUUGUCUUUGUUUUGUUCAUCUGUUUUCUCCCCAACUUGUCAUCUACCAGGGAGAAACCAAACUCCCCCCAGGUGACAAGUUCCGUCAGGAAAGGGCAAACUCAAAGCCAGAGCAAGGUCAGAAAUACCUGGUGCAAUUCUGAAGCUCAUACUGAGGGAUGGGAGACUUACUCCCAAAGACUGAGGAAUUGCUUUUUUUCCAAAGAAAAUCAGGUCCAACAGGGAAAUACAAUUAACCCUGGAUUUAAUUAACCCCAGAUGGGCCUCGGAACCUUCACAUGAUCCUAUUUUAUCAGCCUUUCUCCUGCCGUAUUUGCCCUAAGAGAAGGGCUGCUAGAGAAAGAGUAUGAGUGGGCCCCCGACCUGAGGAUUUAAAAACCUCUCCCACCUACACAAUACACACACCACUCCCCUGCCUGCAAGUAAUGAAAAUCAACAAAUGAAGGACCUCAAAAGUGGACCCCGCUUUACUGUUUUUUUUCCUUUUUUUUUUUUUUUUUUUUUUUUUUGAGUCUUGCUCUGUUGCCCGGGCUGAAGUGCAGUGGUACAAUCUCGGCUCACUGCAACCUCUGCCUCCCGGGUUCAAGGGAUUCUCUUGCCUCAGCCUCUCAGGUAGCUGGGAUUACAGGCACCCAGCACCAUGCCCAGCUAAUUUUUGUAUUUUUAGUAAAUGUGAGGUUUCACCAUGUUGGCUAGGCUGGUCUCGAACUCCUGACCUUAACUGACCCACCUACCUCAGCCUCCCAAAGAGCUGGAUUAUAGGGCUGGGCGCAGUGGCUCACACCUGCUUUACUUUUUCAAUGUGAAAAAUAAAUUAAUAAAAAUUACAAGACAAACUCCUAAGUUGCCUGCAGACUGGCUGUCCCCUAAGGCAACCUGGCUCAGACAGGAAGACAAGGAGGGCCAAGGAGCUGUGCUGUUGUCUGGAGACAACUGUCAAUCACCCAGGCUCGCACCGCACAGGAGGAAAUGCAGUGUCCCUGCUUUGGUGUGAGGCUGGCCUCUGAGAGGCUGGUUCAGCCAGGUCUAUUACCAUAAAAGCCUUCUGUCUAAUUUUCUCUAAGUAAGCCGCUCCCUGACCGUGACAUCAAACAUCACCCUCUCUUUCCUGAAGAGCCCGGGAGAACUCUGUCUAGAAGCAUCCUCGCUGACCAUCUUUACCACAUCCAUUGUCCCUGUAGAGGUGGGGGACCCUGUGUGGCUCUCCCUAGAGUGUAAAUCUUGUGGUAGAAACUCCUGGUCAAGCUCACAGCUGUAGAGGGAAUUGGGACCCACCCAGUCAUUCCCAGCACUGCAUGGUUGUCCACUCAGGGCUCCAACUGUCCCCACUUCUCAGUAGAGACAUUGUACUCCUAUAAGAUAUCCCUCCUCUAUAAUGUCACACAGAGUAAACUCCUGGAACUCAAAGUCAGGACAAAGCAGAUUUCUUCAAAUGAACUUUUACAUUUCCAUUUGUAUCAUUUGCCCCCUGGUUGGGAAGAAUGUCUAUUAUCAAAUAUGUGCCUGAGACCUGACUUAACUCUAAUAAAUUGGGAUUAUUCAGUCAAAAAUUAGAAACACGUUUAGGUUUCUUGAAUCACACUGCCAGCAUACCCUCCAAAAGGCUGCCGCCUCACCUGUCGCUAAAGACAUUGGCAAUGAAUAAAUGUGUCUGUUUUCUUGUCAUCAGCUUUGCGAUUUUUUGAAUUUUUUCUUCUGAUUUUAAAAAUCUUACUCAUUAAUAAAACUAAAGGCUUUAACUAGAGAGUAGUAAGAAAAUGUCCAAACCCAAAAAGCAUCCUCAGGUCACUGCUGUGAGCCAGGUUCUCAUUUACCUCCGAAGCAUCUGCCUUCAGAGCUCCUGUCACACCUGAUGGAUAGUUCCUGACUUGAGUCUCUCUGACUUUGGUCUUAAGAAACUCCUAAAGAACAGCGGUGGACACAGAUCCUUGUUUAUUAAAGGAGCCCAAAGGUCUCCACAGGGGAAGAGACUUCCAGGUCCUAAGGUGGGGGCAGGACAGUAGCUCAACAUUCCUUCUUAAUGGUAAAACAUGUUUUUCUUGUGUGUACUUUUCUUUUUCUGCCUCCCAGGUUCAAGUGAUUCUCCUAUCUCAGCCUCCCGAGUAGCUGGGAUUACAGGUGCCCACCACCAAGCCUGGCUAAUUUUUGUAUUUUUAGUAGAGAUGGGGCUUCACCAUAUUGGCCAGGCUGGUCUCGAACUCCUGACCUCAAGUGAUCUAACUGCCUCAGCCUCCCUAAGUGCUGGGAUUACAGGCAUGAGCCACCACACCUGGCCUCUCAUGUGAACUUUUGGGAAACUCCUGACACCUGUUCUGUGAGGUAAGGUGGCAGCUGCUGCCCACCUUCUCAGCAUUUGCCUGUGGAGGGAUCGCCAGUGGCCCCUGGGUUUCUACAGAGGACUUGUGGUGUUUUUUUGUUUGUUUGUUUGUUUUUAAAGAUAGAGUCUUACUCUUGUUGCCCAGGCUGGAGUGCAGUGGCAUGAUCUCGGCUCACUGCAGCCUCUGCUUUCUGGGUUCAAGUGAUUCUCCUUCCUCAGCCUCCUGAGCAGCUGAGACUACAGGCAUACACCACCAUGCCCACCUAAUUUUAGUAUUAUUGAUAGAGAUGGGGUUUCACCAUGCUGGCUAGGCUGGUCUUGAACUCCUGACCUCAAGUGAUCCACAUGCUCGGCCUCCCAAAGUUCUGAGAUUACAGGUAUGAGCCAUCAUGCCUGGCCAUCUACAGAGCACAUUUUGACAACCACUGAAAGCUUAGGAAAGCUUAUGCCUAAGAUGUGCUUUGAGAAAAAUAGAACUGCCACAUAAGACCUUCUCAAACGAGGAUGCUGAGCUUCACCACAGGAUUAGCAUAGACAGGGAGGUGUGGCCAGAGGUGCCGCUAGGAGGCGAGUUGGGGUCUGGGCUGUGAGGAGGGCAGUGCCAGGAGGCCAAAAGAGCCACGUCCAGGAGGAGGGAUUUAUUCCAGGCUCCAAAGCCUUGGUGGUUUUUGUGCAACAGGAAAAAUCAAGACACCAGAAGAAAUGAAAUAAAGAGGGAAUCUGAGCAGAUGCUAGCAGGUGUUGCUAUACUUAGCUACAUUUAUGGACCUCAAGUUAUUGGUUUACAGCUGUUUAAAAAUGAGGAGUGAGCAUGAUUACUUUUGUCAUAUGUUUGUAACCAAUUAAAAGUAUGGGCUUUUAAGUGUGAAUAAACUCAAUUCAUACGUAA